AAAAUAUUGUAUUUGGGAAAGGUCCAAAGAAAUCAGAGGCUCAUCUGGUAAAGAAAAAAAGGGAAAAGUCAAAUUUCUGUUGUGGUUUGCUGUGGUGAGAAGAGCAUGGUACCUACCGGAAGUCCAGAAGUGAAGCUAUGUGAAUUUGGGGAUUCCCAGGACUAUCUUCAUUUACAUGAAUGUACAUUAGCUCUGGCAUGGAUCGCCUGCAGAAGUGAGUGCAUUCAAGACAUCUCAUUAAGCACUAAAUUUAGUCCCUGAAGACUGAAAGAGGAGAAGAACAACCAGCUGCAGAAAGUCUUGGGCUCUGUGACUGGUGAGUUGUAGAAGACAGAAGGAGGUUUGUACGCUUUACUCUAGAGUAAUAGAAUGGUCUGUAAAUCAGGAGCUGGAAAAAUGGUAAAUGAAGAUGUUGAAUAGGAGAUUCUCUAGCCUAUUGUAAGAGUGUAUUGAAGGAAACCUUAAAAAAUUAUACAGUAGUUCAGACCUUUCUUUCAUAUAUCUUCUCCUUUUUCCAUUUCCCUAAUUUUAUGCCAUAUUGAUAACCCA
rnacentral:lncRNA from 10 species